GGGACAGUGGAGGCUGUGUCUCCAUUGACGGGACCUAGUUCCUGCGGCUCUGGUCGGGGUGGCUGAUCUGGUUCUUGGCACCUCUUUGUGAGGGAUUUGCAGCAGCUCAGCCUCUGUGUCCGCAGCCCAUCUUCCUCCA